AUGCACGCUGGCGGCGUGCUUCACCCCUGCCAGUCGCACGCUGAAGCCCAGCUUGCUGGGUGGAUUAGUGGCGAACGGGUGAGUAACACGGGAGUAACCUGCCCUUAACUCUGGGAUAAGCCUGGGAAACUGGGUCUAAUACCGGAUAGGAGCGUCCACCGCAUGGUGGGUGUUGGAAAGAUUUAUCGGUUUUGGAUGGACUCGCGGCCUAUCAGCUUGUUGGUGAGGUAAUGGCUCACCAAGGCGACGACGGGUAGCCGGCCUGAGAGGGUGACCGGCCACACUGGGACUGAGACACGGCCCAGACUCCUACGGGAGGCAGCAGUGGGGAAUAUUGCACAAUGGGCGCAAGCCUGAUGCAGCGACGCCGCGUGAGGGAUGACGGCCUUCGGGUUGUAAACCUCUUUCAGUAGGGAAGAAGCGAAAGUGACGGUACCUGCAGAAGAAGCACCGGCUAACUACGUG
rnacentral:rRNA from 1 species